GCAGCAAUAUCCUCCGCAAAA
rnacentral:miRNA from 15 species